GGUCUAUUAGUCUAGUUGGUUAGGACGUCGGAUUCUGACUUAACCCCAGAUCUUCCGUAAGCCCAGGUUCGAAUCCUGGAUGGACCU
rnacentral:tRNA from 2 species